UACGUAGGUGACAAGCGUUGUCCGGAUUUACUGGGCGUAAAGAGCGCGCAGGCGGUCGUUCAAGUCGGGUGUGAAAGCCCCCGGCUCAACUGGGGAGGGUCAUUCGAUACUGAUCGACUGGAAGGCAGGAGAGGGAAGUGGAAUUCCCGGUGUAGUGGUGAAAUGCGUAGAUAUCGGGAGGAACACCAGUGGCGAAGGCGACUUCCUGGACUGUUCUUGACGCUGAGGCGCGAAAGCUAGGGGAGCAAACGGG
rnacentral:rRNA from 1 species